rnacentral:rRNA from 1 species
CCGAUCGCGACCCCAGGUCAGGCGGGACUACCCGCUGAAUUUAA